GGGAUUAAAAAUUGAGAUAUAAAUAGAAGUUUAAAAUAAAAAAUUUUGAAAAAAGCGAAGGAUAUAAAAAAAUUUUAAAACUCGAAUUAAAAUCUAACAUAAAAAAAUCAUUAUGAAACAAUCUUGAAAAAGUUUUUUUUAAAUGUUUUUCUAUAAAGGCCAUUUAAAAACCCAAAUGUUAAAAAAAAAUGGUUAAAUUUGAACCAUUUUUGCAGAAAUUAUGCCCAAAAAUCUAAAAAAACAGCAAUUUUUUUAGAAAGUCGAUAUCUUUUGAACGGGUAAUCAAAAAAAUCUCAAAAUUUACCAAAAAUGCUACCUUAAGGGGUACUAAAACAUAUCACAAAAUUGAGGAAAUCAAAACAAAAAAUUUCUCAAACCGUCCGAUUUGGCGUGGAAUGCCCCACAUAUUACGAUUUAUACGCAUAAUUUUUAUGCAGGUUCAAAAUAUGGGCCACUGCAAGUGGGCGAGUAGACUUGUUAACCCGUGAAAUGAAGGACCACGGCAAUUUCCGCCUAUGUGCAGAUCAUUUUGCAGACAACAUGUUCACACAUCCUCAAAAAAAGGCCCUUCGUGGAGACGCAAUCCCUCACCAGAAAGAGUCAGAGCAAAGUUCCUGUGUGCUUCCGGGAACCAGCAGGGAAGAAGUACAUGCACAGGCCUGCCAAACUAUUUCCGAAGAUACCUUAUUCUGUCACUACAAAAAUUUAGAUGAAAGCUCAGAUUUUGGUAAUCUAACAAUGCCUGCAACUAAUUUUGUGUAUUACAUUGCCCAGUUGGAACACCAGUUCUCCAACGGCCUUUUUGAACGUUAUUCCACUGGGGCCCGGGUUGGUUUUCAAAUACUUACCGAAUUAAGCAAAAUUCCAUUCUCACAUCCCUGCAAAAACUUUCCUUUAGACUACGUACGGGGUCUGUUUGUAAGGAUGCGACUUUUCCUUUGUGUGAAGUCACACAAUACUCUGCAAAAAACUAAAUCUAAAAAAGAACGCCGCCUCAUUAUUUUUUCACAUUUGUAACCUUUGUUAAUUGUAUUAUCGUCGUUCUCUGGUUGUAUUCAAGGUUGUAUUAUAAUCUUAACAAAGAAUGAUGUAUACUUACGUAACCAUAGGUCCAUAGCAUAGGGUGGCAUGGGUCAUUUAUUUAUCAAAACAAAUUGCUUCGUAUGUAGCUUCCCUUGUUGUAUGUAUGUUAAUAAAUCAUCUAUUAUAAA